rnacentral:rRNA from 1 species
UAGCCACGGUAAUACCAGCUCUCCGAGUGGUGGGGAUGAUUAUUGGGCCUAAAGCAUCCGUAGCCGGCUGGGCAAGUGCCCUGUUAAAAUCCACCGAUUCAAUCGGUGGAUUGCGGGGGUAUACUGCUCGGGCUAGGGGACGGGAGAGGUCGACGGUAUUUCCGGGGUAGGGGUGAAAUCCUAUAAUCCCGGAAAGACCACCAGUGGCGAAGGC